GUUGAAUUGUUCCUUCUCCAUUUCGUUGAAUCAACUCACAGUAACUCACCGAAACAACCCAUAACUUCCACCCCUAACUCAUCAUCCUCAACCGUUCCUCUGACCUCUCAGCUCGCGGUCCAUUUCCGAACCACACCGGUCCACACACCAACUUCCAGCAAACUCCCUUCCGCUCUGACCGUUCCCCAGCACCCUUCCGUUCUUCUUCCUUCCGAACACGCCCAGCUGAUUCUCCGCUCAUACUCCCUCUCCGGCCAGAACAAGGCUACUCCCUCCUGUCACAGACUCCCAUUUCAGAACUUCCUCUGUCUCCGUAACCUGCUCCUUCCGCCAGCAACCGGCCUCACACUUCUUCAAUUCCAACCGCGGCACACCCUCGCUGUCACAACACAGUGUACUCCCUCUGUCAAAGCAACAAUACAACAUCCCAUUUUCUCUUUUGAGUGGUAA